UGGGAACUCCACCUACUGCCUGUUGACCAAGCAUUAAAUAUUUUGGAGGUUCAAAAGCCUCUGAGCUUGUCAUAAUGGGCUUGCUUUCAGCACUGAGCAAAGAAUUACCCAUCUGGGAUAUCAUUCUCCUCCGGGAAAGGGUCUCCAAUCACCUCUCAUAAGGAGACAUGUCCUGCUGCCUCACUGCGGUGGCCUCAGGGGUAAGGAAUCAGAACCCACCCAGUGUGAAGAAUAAACCUGGACUCUCGGCAACACAGGAAGAAAAAGCCUACAGUACAGAUACCACGGCGACAAGGACUCAAGGCCUCCUAGCGAGAUUACAUCCUUGUCAAAGGUUGGAAAGAGGGAAAGCUCAAACCCACCUGGGAAGGACCUUACCUGGUACUCCUAACAACUGAAAUAGCACUCCGGAAAGCCGAAAAAGGGUGAACCCACCACACAAGUGAAGAAGGCCCCACCUCUGGCAAAGUCAUGGACCAUCACUCCAGGACCAACAGCCUCAAAACUAACAUUCAAACGGGUUUGUCUUUUUCUUCUCCCCUUAGCUACUCAAGGAUAUCUUACUGUUAAUGUAACUAUGCUUGUCUAGUCUUACCUUGUGGAGAUCUCCAAAGUCAAAGACAGUUAGCUUGUACAGAAAAGUACUUCUGCCCCUCUGUGGAAAGAGUUAAUACUCCUGUGUCUUGCAUAUGGGGGGAAUCCUCAGAGGAAGAGUUAGGCAAUUGGGGGUUAUGGUCUCAGUGGGCAGUUUUAGGGCACUGCCCUAAAACCAUACCUACACUUCACCAAAGGGGCCACCCCUUCUGACUGUCAAUCUAAUCAUUGCAAUCCAGUACUUAUCCAUUGUAAAAAUUAAAGAUCUAAAGCAAACCAUA
rnacentral:lncRNA from 1 species